UUACUGUCUAAGACAGCUUUUUGAAAAAGUUGAAGUGGACAAACCUCUGGCCAGUCGUUCAGCAUCUGCUGAAAUUUAUAUUAUAGGUUUUAAAUAUAAAGCUCCUUCAAAGAUCGAUCCACGACUUCUUGAUGUAAAACACCUCUUUCAAGGAGGAAAAGAACCCCCCAAGGUGAUUGAUGUACUCGGGGCGACGAAGCAGAAGAGACACCGUGAUGGGUACGAAGAUGGAGCCACAGUCCUAAGGAAGGUGUGCUCAGUUGUAGAUUUUGUAUGGUCUGAUAACCCUGUUCAGGUCCUUGGUACAUUUUCUUCAAUGAGCUUUGAUGAUCCUGCCUGUUUGGCCAUUAGAGACCACACUCUCACAACAGAGGAGGUUAAAUCUCUAUGUGAUGAUUUGCGUGUUCUUGCAAAGCAAGAAUUCAAGUAUCUCUUAAAGUGGCGUAUGCAGAUAAGAAAAGCUUUAUCUCCUGAAAAAAUAAAGACCCCAACAGUUGUUGAAAGUGAGAGCAAAGAAGGUGAAGAUGAAGGUGAAGAUGAAGAUGAAAGAGUUCUCAAUGAAAUAGAGGAGAAAACCAAUAUUUUGGAGAAAAAACAGAAAAAAGAGAAGAAACUUCAAGCAAAAAGACGAGCCAAGGAGAAAGCACGCAAGGCACUUGGGAUACAAGUCGACGCGACAGAGGAUGGCUAUGGUGAUCAGGAUUUGUUCUCUCUAUCUUCCAUCAAGGGUAAGAAAGAUCUUGUAGUUGUUGAUAACAGUGAAUACGACAAAGAAACUACUGAGGUAAGCGAUGAAAGUGACGAGGAAGCCCAGGAACAUUCAUCCAGCGAUCUGGACUCUGAAGACGAACGCAGAAGACAUGAUGAUAAUAUUGAGGCAUUAUUUGAUGAGGCUUAUGAACGGUAUUUGGGUAGAGUGGAAGGUAAAUCAAAACAGAGAAAGCGAUCCAAACAAGCACACUUGAAGGAUGAUCUGCAGGAUGACAAUGAUGAUAGCAUGAUGAUUGAUUCUGCUCAAGACUCUGAGAGUGACAUGGAAGAUAAUGAAGUCAACCCUCUUGUUGUGCCCCUUGAGGAUGCACCACCUCAGGAGGAGAUUGUGAAGAAGUGGUUUACUCAAGAUGUUUUUGCUGAAGCAGAAGAGCAAGAUGUCUUGGACAAGUAUGACAGUGAUGAUGAAAUGCAAAUAGAUGGAGGGGCUAAGAAGAUCCAAAAAUCUAAGGAACUGACAAAUGAUAAACAGCAGGGAGAAACUAAAGAUCUGACGAGGAAAAAAACAAAUUUACAGGUCUCAGCUUCUAAGACAGAUGAUGAUUUUGAGAUUGUUCCUGCUCCUGCUACUGAUUCUAGUGACUCAUCUUCUGAUGAAUCUGAUGACGAUAUUGAAACCAAGGCUGAAAUAUUGGCUACAGCAAAAAUGAUGCUGAAGAAAAGGCCUAGAGAAGAAAUGAUUGAUGAUGCUUACAACAGAUAUAUGUUCCACGAUGAGGGGUUGCCAAAGUGGUUCGUUGAUGAGGAAAAGAGAAAUUUCCAGCCAGUGAAACCCGUGACAAAAGAGGAGAUUGCUGCA
rnacentral:misc_RNA from 1 species